rnacentral:rRNA from 1 species
GAGGAAUAUUGGUCAAUGGGCGAGAGCCUGAACCAGCCAAGUAGCGUGCAGGAAGACGGCCCUAUGGGUUGUAAACUGCUUUUGUAUGGGGAUAAAGUCAAUCACGUGUGAUUGUUUGCAGGUACCAUACGAAUAAGGACCGGCUAAUUCCGUGCCAGCAGCCGCGGUAAUACGGAAGGUCCAGGCGUUAUCCGGAUUUAUUGGGUUUAAAGGGAGCGUAGGCCGGAGAUUAAGUGUGUUGUGAAAUGUAGACGCUCAACGUCUGACUUGCAGCGCAUACUGGUUUCCUUGAGUACGCACAACGUUGGCGGAAUUCGUCGUGUAGCGGUGAAAUGCUUAGAUAUGACGAAGAACUCCGAUUGCGAAGGCAGCUGACGGGAGCGCAACUGACGCUGAAGCUCGAAGGUGCGGGUAUCGAACAGGAUUAGAUACCCUGGUAGUCCGCACAGUAAACGAUGGAUGCCCGCUGUUGGUACCUAGUAUCAGCGGCUAAGCGAAAGCAUUAAGCAUCCCACCUGGGGAGUACGCCGGCAACGGUG